GAUAAACGCUGGCGGCGUGCCUUAUGCAUGCAAGUCGAACGGUCGCGAUUUAUCGAGAUAGUGGCGAACGGGUGAGUAACGCGUAAGUAACCUGCCCCUAAGUAAGGGAUAACUCUGAGAAAUUAGAGCUAAUACUGUAUGAUGGGUGAUGGAGGUAAUGCUUCAUCACUAAAGCCUUCGGGCGCUUGGGGAGGGGCUUGUGUCCGAUUAGCUAGUUGGUAGGGUAACGGUUUACCAAGGCGAUGAUCGGUAGCUGGUCUGAGAGGACGAUCAGCCACACUGGGACUGAGAUACGGCCCAGACUCCUAUGGGAGGCAGCAGCAAGGAAUUUUGUGCAAUGGGCGAAAGCCUGACACAGCGACACCGCGUGGGGGUUCGGGUUGUAAACCUCUUUUCUCAGGGAAGAAUAAUGACGGUACCUGAGGAAUAAGUCUCGGCUAACUACGUGCCAGCAGCCGCGGUAAUACGUAGGAGGCGAGCGUUAUCCGGAUUUACUGGGCGUAAAGAGGGCGUAGGCGGCUUUUCAAGUCGGGUGUGAAAUCUCCCCGCUUAAUGGGGAGGGGUCAUUCGAUACUGUUAAGCUAGAGGACAGCAGAGGGAGGUGGAAUUCCCGGUGGAGUGGUGAAAUGCGUAGAUAUCGGGAGGAACACCAGUGGCGAAGGCGGCCUCCUGGGCUGUUUCUGACGUUGAGGCCCGAAAGCGUGGGGAGCGAACAGGAUUAGAUACCCUGGUAGUCCACGCUGUUAACGAUGGAUACUAGGUAUAGGGAGUAUCGACCCUCUCUGUGCCGAAGCUAACGCGUUAAGUAUCCCGCCUGGGGACUACGGCCGCAAGGCUA
rnacentral:rRNA from 1 species